GAUGAACGCUAGCGGGAGGCCUAACACAUGCAAGCCGAGCGGUAGAGUUUCUUCGGAAACUUGAGAGCGGCGCACGGGUGCGUAACACGUGUGCAACCUACCUUUAUCUGGGGGAUAGCCUUUCGAAAGGAAGAUUAAUACCCCAUAAUAUAAUGAUUGGCAUCAAUUAUUAUUGAAAACUCCGGUGGAUAGAGAUGGGCACGCGCAAGAUUAGAUAGUUGGUGAGGUAACGGCUCACCAAGUCAAUGAUCUUUAGGGGUCCUGAGAGGGAGAUCCCCCACACUGGUACUGAGACACGGACCAGACUCCUACGGGAGGCAGCAGUGAGGAAUAUUGGACAAUGGGUGAGAGCCUGGUCCAGCCAUCCCGCGUGAAGGAUGACGGUCCUAUGGAUUGUAAACUUCUUUUGUACAGGGAUAAACCUACCCUCGUGAGGGUAGCUGAAGGUACUGUACGAAUAAGCACCGGCUAACUCCGUG
rnacentral:rRNA from 1 species